GUUGGUUAUGGAGAUGUUGUCCCAGUGACCACGGCAGGCAGGCUGACAGCUUCUGCAUGCAUCCUUGCUGGCAUCUUGGUAGUGGUCCUCCCUAUCACACUCAUUUUCAACAAG